rnacentral:rRNA from 1 species
AGUUGGUGGAGUGAUUUGUCUGGUUAAUUCCGAUAACGAACGAGACCUCUACUUGCUAAAUAGCAGCAAGAAGUCUAACUUCUUGUUUCGCUUCUUAGAAGGACUUUGCAUGUCUAAUGCAAGGAAGUUGGAGGCAAUAACAGGUCU